rnacentral:tRNA from 1 species
GCCACGGUGGUGUAGUGGUGAGCAUGGGGGCCUGUGGAGCCCUAGACCCGAGUUCGAAUCUCGGCCGUGGCC